GUCACUUUCCCUAUUUGAGUGUCUGAGUUGCUAAAAAAAUGGGUUAUUUGUUUUAGUGUUUGAAAUUUGAACAGUUUCUAUUCUUAAGAAAUACAAUUGCAACUCUUUGUUUUUUAAUACAUAGAAUAUGAAUACCUUAAUGGGGCAGAAAAAUGAUAGAAGAAAAACAAUUUUAUUUUAAACGAUGCCAAAAAGAGUUCAAACACCAUUUAUACCAUGGAUUUGCCAUGCUUUUUUAAAAGAACAAGACUGUGUACUGUUUAUGUUCUAAAAAUGAUUAUGUUCUCAUCCGAAUGCCCUGUUUGCCAUAAAGUUGCAUAUUUAUUUUCUCAUAUGAAUAUGUAGUUUUAUAUUUGAGUGGUAGUGCCUGUGUACAUUCUUGUUUUGAUAAGAUGUGAAAUUAAUCUUUUGACAAUUGAAGUAAAGUAAUCAUUUAUACAUGUGCAUUCAUUGAUUUGGCAUAAAUUACAUUUUGUUUUUAGAUUUAGAAUUUUUUUAAAAAAAAAA
rnacentral:misc_RNA from 1 species